UGGGGAAUCUUCCGCAAUGGACGAAAGUCUGACGGAGCAACGCCUCGUGAGUGAUGAAGGCUUUCGGGUCGUAAAACUCUGUUGUUAGGGAAGAACAAGUACGAGAGUAACUGCUCGUACCUUGACGGUACCUAACCAGAAAGCCACGGCUAACUACGUGCCAGCAGCCGCGGUAAUACGUAGGUGGCAAGCGUUAUCCGGAAUUAUUGGGCGUAAAGCGCGCGCAGGCGGUUUCUUAAGUCUGAUGUGAAAGCCCACGGCUCAACCGUGGAGGGUCAUUGGAAACUGGGGAACUUGAGUGCAGAAGAGAAAAGCGGAAUUCCACGUGUAGCGGUGAAAUGCGUAGAGAUGUGGAGGAACACCAGUGGCGAAGGCGGCUUUUUGGUCUGUAACUGACGCUGAGGCGCGAAAGCGUGGGGAGCAAACA
rnacentral:rRNA from 1 species